GACGAACGCUGGCGGCGUGCUUAACACAUGCAAGUCGAACGAUGAAGCUGGAGCUUGCUCCGGUGGAUUAGUGGCAAACGGGAGAGUAACACGUGUGCACUCUGCCCUUCACUGUGAGAUCACUGCGGGAAACUGUAGCUAAUACCGGAUACGAGCCGUGGAGGCGUAUCCGUGGCUGUAAAGUAUUUCGGUGAAGGAUGAGCUCGCGGCCUAUCAGCUUGUUGGUGAGGUAAUGGCUCACCAAGGCGACGACGGGUAGCCGGCCUGAGAGGGUGACCGGCCACACUGGGACUGAGACAUGGCCCAGACUCCUACGGGAGGCAGCAGUGGGGAAUAUUGCACAAUGGGCGAAAGCCUGAUGCAGCAACGCCGCGUGAGGGAUGAAGGCCUUCGGGUUGUAAACCUCUUUUAGCAGGGAAGAAGCGAAAGUGACGGUACCUGCAGAAAAAGCACCGGCUAACUACGUGCCAGCCGCCGCAGUAA
rnacentral:rRNA from 1 species